GGGGGUGUAGUUCAGUGGUAGAGCGUGUGCUUAGCAUGCAUGAGGCCCCUGGGUUCAAUCCCCAGCACCUCCA
rfam:Erinaceus europaeus unplaced genomic scaffold scaffold00012, whole genome shotgun sequence